CUCUUAUCCAGAGUGGUGGAGGGACUGGCCCGAUGAAACCCGGCAACCGCAAGCUUAUGCUUGAAGGUGCUAAAUCCUGCAAAGCGCGUGCUUUGAGAGAUGAGAU
rnacentral:ncRNA from 2 species